CUUCUCUCUCUUCAUUUCUCCUCGAUUUGUUCACCCAUUUUGUAAGCGAAAUUGAAGAAAAUGAAGGGAAAGGAAAGAGGAAAAUGGGGGGCGAGAAGGAAAGCAAAGAAAAGGAAACAAAAGAAGAGAGAGAAGAAACAAUCGUGAUUCCUGCCUGGUUUCACCC
rnacentral:ribozyme from 1 species